AUCUGUUACCGGUUGGGACAUCUGUCCUGAUGCCUUCCUAUCUUAAGUCUUCAAGGUCUAUCUCUUCUUCUUAGAGUGGAGGCUCGCUGUCUGGCAUUGGCCUCUCUACGAUUACAUUCUCAUGCUCUACGAUUUCACUGUCUGGUACUACGCUCGUAGUGUUGAGCUCGACGACUUCAUUCGUAGUGUCUGCACUAUCGGUCGUAGUGUCUUGAGGCACUGUUUUGUCUAAGUAUGUUUCAUCAAAGAUGAUAUGUAUCGAAACUUCAACAUUCAGUGUCUUCUUAUUGAACACUCUGUAAGCUUUGCUGUCUGUGGCAUACCCAAGAAAGAUCCCUUUGUCUGACUUGGGCUGGAAUUUUGUUAGAUACUGCUUUCCAUUGUUGAGAAUGUAGCAUGCAC
rnacentral:lncRNA from 1 species